rnacentral:tRNA from 1 species
CCCUGCGCCCCGGCCGUCUGCGCGUAGGACUGUCAAUCCGUAGGUCCCUGGUUCGAGCCCAGGUCGGGGAGCCA